GAGGUAUACUAAGGGCUGCAUUAAGGAGGCUGUGUUGGUAAAAUGCCAAUGCUCACCUUACACUGAGGGAAUGAAGUCUCUUCUCUUCACUGGAAGCAUGAGACUUCAGGGAUAACAGAGGAGAUGCUGUCUAUAGCCAAACUGCUUCAGUGCGGCAUGCUGAGGCUUGUCAAUGGAACAGAACAUGCAGAGGAGACAGAUGACUGGUACAAGAGAAGAUGAGAGAGACAAUGAGGCCUGCUGAAGAUGUGAAAGAAGAUAAAAAUCAGAGAUAGAGGGGAUGGAAGAAAAGAUUCAGUUUUCGGGAUUGAGAGAAAAAAGACAAUGGAGAGCGGGUGAGAAAUAAUGGAAAAAGGAGAGCAAAUAAAAACAAUACAAGGAGAAAAGGAGUGAAAAAGAAGAUGUAGAUAAAAAGAGGAAAGGUAAUGAUACUAUUUAUCCUACCAGAAAAGUCUCAUGUCAGUUGCAUAGCCAUUAGAAAAGCCAGCUU